rnacentral:tRNA from 1 species
GGCUCCGUAGCUCAGCAGGAUAGAGCAGCGGUUUCCUAAACCGAAGGUCGGGGGUUCGAGUCUCUCCGGGGCCACCA